UACGAAGGGGGCUAGCGUUGCUCGGAAUCACUGGGCGUAAAGCGCACGUAGGCGGAUUGUUAAGUCAGGGGGUGAAAUCCUGGAGCUCAACUCCAGAACUGCCUUUGAUACUGGCGAUCUCGAGCCCGGGAGAGGUGGAGUGGAACUGCGAGUGUAGAGGUGAAAUUCGUAGAUAUUCGCAAGAACACCAGUGGCGAAGGCGGCUCACUGGCCCGGUACUGACGCUGAGGUG
rnacentral:rRNA from 1 species